rnacentral:lncRNA from 1 species
CAAGAAUGGAGGCGGAGAUUGCAUGAGCUUUCGAUACGAGACACUGAACGUUCAUUGCCUGGUGCUUCAGAGCUCACUGCAAGUAGACCAUGGAGAUGUUCAUGAGGAGGCGCAGCCUGUUCGACUCGACCUCACUUCGGAAAGGUUCUCGAGGAAGUGGUAACAUGGAGGUGGUUCUAACCAAGAUUUGUUCAUUAGAAAAUGUUUGUGAACAAAUGAAUUAUGCCAAGCACGCUGCCAGCAAUGCGGAAGUAUCUAAAUCGUGCCUCCCUGAUAUAAUGGAGGCAAAUGAGGCCCUUGUUCAUAGCUUGAUGAAGCGCAGGUCUCAGGACUCUGGAUUGGAAUUGCCGAACCUUGACUGUGCUUUGUCAGCACUCGAGUCAUCAGAAGGCAUGUCCGACAUGCAGGAGCACCACAAAGCUCUGGAACUGCCAGCUUCUGAUGUGGCUGAUGUGCUUGAUGGAGAUUCUGAUGGAGACUCAUCAACUUCCCAAACAAACAGCCCUGCAAAAAUGACAUCAGAAACGCAAGAACCAGAGGACAGAGGAACACCGACGUCUCCUGCUGAUUCUGAUCAGCAGGACGUAGCAGGGGAAGGAGAAGACUGCAAUGAGAAGCAGCAACAGACUGUGGGUGGAGCAAGCAGCAAAAGGCUGUCAUUUCAACAAACCCAGCAGGAUUGGUGCGAUCUGGAAAGAAAAUGGGAUGAUUUUGCACAAAAGCAGAGGCAACGCAAACAGAUCAAGCCUGGAAAUCAUCUGGGCUCGGGCAUGGAACAUUUGGAUCAGCUCUGCCGCCUGAUGGAAAGGCUGGGAGAGUUGCAGGAUGGUAACAAGAGGCUGCGACAUGAGAUGCACAAUCUUAAAGUCCAGCUGCAUGUCUCACAAAGCCAGCAAGAUGCAAUGGUGGCACAAUGCAGCUGCGCUGCCCACAAGCUUGAUCAUCUGCAAGGAAGGAGCAAGACGACAUGUCGUUAUCGCUCACAUUCUGAGACCGAGGUGCACAACAUGGACAAGAAAAAUGGCCUCAAAGGAUUGUAUUCACGAAGCAGCUCUUUGAACAGGGCAUUUCAAAAACCAUUGGGCUCCAAGCUUUGCCUGAGCAAAUCACGCUUAAAGUUUCAGUUUUGAGGCACAUCCAGUCACUUGAUUUGGCAUCUCUGUUGAUCAGAAUGUUUUUUACUUCUGCUGUGACAAACAAUAGAAAUUGGCAAGAGGUCACCAAGUCUGAUUUAUGGAGUUCCUGAGUGGCUAUAAUGGUCAUCUAUCAUGCUUGUUGCCUCGUUUGUACAUUGAAACGGUUUCAUUCUGUUAGAUUGUAGUGCUUUGGAUGUGUACUUCAAGAUCACUGCAAGAACAGAAGUUGUGGUUUUUUUUGGACAGAAAGGGCAGGAAAUAAAUACCAUAUCUAGAGUAUUUGAAAGGACAUAUGAGGUAACGCUAUUGAGACUAUAUAGCAGAGUACGGUUUAAGAAGCUUGAACUGAUAUGCAGGAUAAUGUAUGAAUGCUGAAACUGUAUAAGCUAUUACACCAAAGAUUAUUUACUAUUGUGUUGGACUUAAUGGUACAGGACACGUUUCAGGUAAGGUGACUGUCUCGUGUAUCCCUUGUUUUAAACAUGUCAUUAAAAUUUAUCACUUUGCUGUGAGAUAAGUAGUUUUUUUAAAAUUCAUAUUAUUAUUAUUAUUAUUGUCAUUAUUAGAAUUCUUAGCUUGACCAAACCAGGAGAUAUGCUUUAGCUCAUUUGGAAUUUUUUUUUACUAUUGAGAGAAAGGUUUUUUGGGGAAAUGGAUAAAUUAAUACUCAUCAAGAAAAUGUUUAAUGGGGUGUAAUGACUUGUUACAAAAUUGUGGCUUUCAACCUUUAUCGAUACAGAUGCAUUUUAUUCAAACUACAUCUGUAGAAGCUGUAACUACUUUUUGAAAUUGAUGGUGCUAUUGUUAAGAAUGCACAGCAACUUUGUGCUUUUAUUUUUUGGUACAUUUUUUUCAACCAAAUGUUGCCAGCACAAGCUAUUGGUGCUCAUGACUUGAACAGUUCUUGAAGCCAUCAAAAAAAGCAACCACUUGAUGUGCAAUAUAUGAUGUACAGUAUAUUAUUUUUGAUUUAUAAAUAAAGUAUGCUGAUGAAGAUACAGUUGCAUUUUUAUUUGGUACUAGCAAAUACAACCUGUCAUUAUGCUGACAGGGAUAUAAAGGGGAGGGGGGAGAGGAGAGGAUGGAGGGAGGAAGGGAAGAGAGAGAGAGAGAGAGAGAGAGAGAGAGAGAGGGGGGGGGGGGGGGGGGGGGGGGGGGGGGGGGGGGGGGGGGGGGGAGAGAGUAAAGAGGGGAGGGAGGGGAGAGGAGCUAGGAAGGGGAAAAGAGUGAGUAAGGGGAGGGGGUGGGGAAGAGUGACACCUUACCAAAUGUUGCUCUGCAUUGCAGGAUGGUAGGGUGCGAAGAGGAAGUGAGACAGAGACAGAGACUGAGAGAGGAGGGGGGAGGGGUGGUGGGAGGAGGAGGAAAAAAAGAGAUAGGUGAGGGGUGGAGGUUAGCAAAGAGAAUCAUAUGUUAUGCUUAAUGACCGAACACACACGCACAAAAAAAUAAAAACAACUCAUGUCAGAACAGCUGUACACACAACGACACAACAGAGUUUGUAAAGAAAUCCGCUGGCACAUCUGCAAAAAAUUUGAUACCCCAGUUCCAGAAAAUUCGUGGGAACAUGAACCAAAAGCAAUCACUGAAAACAUGGAAGUACGGUUCACGUACAACCUCAUGAUCCCAUUGAGCGUGACCAUCAUAAACAAAGCAUUGUAACCAGAAAUCAUACUUAAGCACAAAAAAGAGAGAAGAAGGCAUUGCUGAUUGAGGUGUUAAUACCAGUGAUUUUGGACUAAACGAUGCAGAAAUCAAUAAAAUGACCAAAUACUGAGACAUCAAGAAAGAAGUGAAAAGAUCCUGGAAGUUGAAGAAUGCCAAAGUUGGACCAGUGAUGGAUUGAGAUACGGGAAUGAUGAUGAAGAAUGUCACAUAGAUAUUCAAAACCAUCCCUGGUAAUAUUAUUACAAAUGAACUGCAGUUGGAAGCUGUCCGGGGCUCAGCGACGAUCCUGAAGAGAGCCCUCGGCACAAAAAUUUGAGAAAAGAAAACUUCACAGCUUGGUCUAUGAAGCGUGACCCCUUUCUGAAAUGGAAGUGGAUACUUUGAGCCCGCCCUGCAAGGACUCCAUUCCUAGAUGUAGAUACCAAUCAAUGACACACACACACACACACACACACACACACACACACACACACACACACACACACACAAAUUUUGAGACCGGAUAGGUCUCUGUUUCACCUCAUGAAACCCACCCACCACAUGGGGAGAUAGCAGGAAACAACAUCAACUUGCAUGCACACGCAGAUGCUUUGAAACCUGGGGCGUGAGCAUUUAAAACCCAUGCUAUCUUCCUGGCAAAGGUCUGCCUGCAUGCAUGCAUGCUCGUGCAUGCAGCGACCAUUGCACCCCACUGGUUGGCUUAUUCCAAAUCUGAUUCAUAAAUGCUCGUCACCUCAACAGAGAGGGAAGGUUGGGGAGCUGGGUGAGGGGUGGGAGAGAAAGCAAGAAGUUGGGUUCGGAAAGAAGGAAAGGAGUGGGAAUCUGCUGGAGUCAGAUGUGAUGCCCAGUUAAUCAUCCAUCCGAGAGAUGGUACACAUGUCACCCUGCCUGUGAAACACCGGGAUGAAAGUUUAUAGCUUGGUUGGGAUUUGAAUCCAGACUACACAGAGUAAGCAUGCAUACCUCUCGGCUUUCUCGCCAUGGUGCGGUGAUUCAUUAUUUUAUAACUGAAAAUAUUUUUUGCACAUUGUUAUCAAAUCAUUUAUUUUGCCUUCCUACUUCGGGUAUAGAACCUCAGUUGCACCAUUGAAAUGUGCGCCAAGCAAAAUGAUUGAAGAAGCUUUUAAAAGGAAGUGUUUAAUUUUUAUUUGUAUUUAUCUAUGUCAAAGUGAUGGGUCAAAAAUGGAAGAUCAUACAAAAAGUUGAAAUGUCGUGGAAAAUAAAAUUUCACAUUUUCAGUGAGCUUGCCUGUUGCAUCGCAGAACAACACGUGGUGAAGAACGUAUGCGAGUGACCCCUUAACUUUGUUCAAAUUGAUCUACAUACAGUAUUCAGUGACAGUGUGAAUAUUGCAGAGCACUGGCUUAAGCACUUCAACGAAAUGGUUGAUAAGAAACAGCUCACUUUGCAGGCAAUUAGCAAACAUCCAAACUGUCAUUUUAAACAUACACUUCCCGGAGAUGCCCGAAAUGUCAAAUAUGUCCGAAUUGGACAAAUGAAGACUUUUUAGGAGUCGGAGCUGCUUGGAAGUUCGAUUCUGCAACUUAAAUUUUGUAAUUCUGCUUAGUUUAAGAGAAACUCAUAGUGAUUGCAUGUGCAAAAAUGAAAUAAAGCCACCAAUGCUGACGUCUCUGGACGUUUAUAAGCAUUGAACUGUAACCAGUGAUUCGUAGCUAUGAUGAACAGGCAUUCGAUAAUAAGAGUGAGGAAAGUGAAAAAAACAAAACUUUACCAUUAAGAAAUAGUUGCGGCCUAUUUCAAGUUAGGGCAUGGUUGAGCAGGCCAAAAUAUGGUGGCUUCAGACCCCAGCAAGGUUACCUGAGAUACACCUUAAGACCCCAUAGAGAGUGGUGACCAAGGAUGUGCCUGAUAAAAGGAUUUAAUUAAAUAAGGCCGUUAUUAUAAAAGAGGUGUUUUCAUUAACCCAAAUAUCCAAUUUUCACUAAUGCACUUCCUUGGAAUUUUCUUAGUAUGCAGGCAAAGUUUCAGACUGCUAGGUUUCAUGGUCUUGUAGUAAAUGGAGGAG